AUAUUUUUAAACCAACUGAUAAUAGAGGUAUCUUUUGACCGAAGUCGGAUAAGAAUAUAGAUUUUAUAUUUUCAAUAAGAAAUUGAUAAAUUGAAAUAUCAUCAUGAUAAAGGUACUGUACACAAAAAAAAGAAUCAGUUUUAUGAUUUUGUUGAAUUAACAGUUUUUGAAAUAAAAAAAUUAUAUUACUCACAAAGUAAAAUUAAUUAGGAUAUAAUUCAUACUAGGUAAAUUUUAGAAUUUCUUUUUUUUUUCUCCCUCCUUCUCAUCCCCUGACAUCAAAUGCCUGGUCCAGAAUCUAGGUCAUACCAGAAGUUGCCGUCCAUCUGUCUUUUGAUUGUACUAUUAUUAUUAUUAUCGUUUCUAUUCGAUUGACCAUUGAUUUAUCAUUGUCAUAUAUAUUUCACAGUUUGUCGAAAUUAAAAUGUGCCACAUUUU
rnacentral:sRNA from 1 species